rnacentral:misc_RNA from 1 species
UUGCCGGCUUGACGAGAAAACACGCGGCGAGCAGCACCACGCCGUCCACUGCGCGCUCUUUUUCACCUCUCUUCUUUUUUUUGUUCCGUCGUGCUUGCGGCGCACCGCCACGUGAAACGGGACUGUGCCGCCUCUCCCUCUUCCCUCCGUGCAUCUUAGAGCACCGCUUUCGCUGCUGUGCGGUGUAUGGGCUGUGGCUGUGCGUCUUUGCCUGCGUGCUUGCCUGCGUGCUGGCGACAAAAGAGUGUCCCACCUGCUCUCUCGCUGUUGCCUCGGCCCUUCUACUGGAUCGUGUUCUCAUGCGUCUCUGCACUCGCGAUGUCAAUGCUCAGGGAAGGCUGAGCAAGUCUCCCUGCAUCCCUCUCUCGCAAAUGGAGGUGGGCCUUUUGUGCACGUCGGGGGAGGCGUGGCCGCCGCUGUUGCCCAGCUUUAGCAGGGAGGCCGUGGAGGCGAUAAAUAGGUUUGUACAGGGGUUUAUCUGCAAGCGCAUCGAGUACCGCUGUGGUCAGCUCUCCGCCGAGGACUACGAGGACGCGUUUCUGCCGCGGUGGGUGCGCAUGGCGGAGCACCGCACCGUCCUCAUGGAGGACUUCUUCGCUCAGCAUGGCAGCCGCCUCAGCGAGGAGACGUUCCGCGAGCUCUUCGGCGCCUUUGAGAAGAUGCAGAGCGCCCUGCGUGAUGCGCGGCAGGAGCCCGGCGGCGGCGUGGAGUGGCGUCACGACAAGCGCAUCUCUUUUGCGCGGCCGGUGGCGCACCGCCUCAUCCGCCGCUCGCGCGAUCGCUUCUCACUCCGCAGCGUCGCCGACGUCGACGAAGGCGCUGCGCUCAGCCACCCCUCACCCUCCCCUGGUCCUAGCAGCGCCGCCGACGCAUGGCGAGACUCGCUGCAGCCUGGCAGCUCCUCUCCUAUCCCCGGCGGGACGGUGGUGAGCGUGAGCAGCGUGACAGACAUCGCGGACGCGGACGAUGUGCGCACCUUUGUGCUGCCGGUGGAGGAGAGCGCCGAUGGGGACCACUUCACAGGUAGGGCCAGCGGUGUCUACUACGGCGACCUCCUCCGCUCCGCCGGCAGCUCCGCGAGGAGCAGCGACCAGGGCAGCCGCGCAGCUGAGGCUGCUUCCUUCGCCCUUGCGGAGGGAAGAGACAGCUUGGAUAACGGCGCCGGCAUUGCCGAGGCUGUGUUGCAGGCGUACAGCGGGCCGGCGCGGCGGGCUAAGGCAUGGCGACGGCUGUGGAUUCGCUGCUUCUACCAUUGCAUUCUCCCGGCUGUGGUGGUGGUUUCUCUUGCCGCUUACUACUGGGAUACGUUGCAGCUCUAUCUGCGCUUAUAGAGCACCUCGGAUUCGUGUGGCGCCCCUCCCCCCCCCCCCCCCCCCGCGCGAUCUCUCCUGCUGAGCAGUCUCUAUGCUUGUAGAGCUGUCGGUGUCGCGGGGUUAAAGGGGGGGGGGGGUGGCUGUCGGUGUCGGGCCACUUUGGUUGCUCUUGUCGUUGCCGUUUGUGCGUGGUGUCUGAUGCGGGUGCUCGGUCUCCUUUCUCUCAUAUUCUUUUGUUGUUCUGUGCGUAGGUGUCCUACUCCUCUGUCUCUCUGUCUGUGUGGUGACGAGAUCUCUCCGUGACCACCACAUCAUCGUCCAUCCUUGUGCGGCCUGCAGAUGGUGGGAGGCGCCGCGAUGUGGGCCUCAGAGUGUACACACAGCCCCCGCGCCCCCGUUCCCACAGACAUCUCUAUACAUAACACACAGAUGGACGCCUACUACCUUCUAGAUGGCACACACUCAAGCACAAGGACACAGAGGAAGGGUGAGGAGAGAAGAGAAUGCUCGGUGGAGGGGGAAGGGGGCGUUUAUGUAUGCACACAGGACGCACCCACUUCCGGGCUCUUUACCCUUUUUUGCCCCUCCUUUCUCUGCUCGAUUCUCUCUCACGCGUCUUUUCCUCUCCUCUCCUGCACGUGCGCGCGUGCGUGUGUGUGUGUGUGUGUACGACAGACUCGGCGUGGGUGUGCCGUCUCUUCUUGUUCACUCCUCCUCCCUUCAACUAGAUGCAAACUUCUCUCGUGCUGUCUGUCAGUUGUCUUGUACAUCGUUGGUUACGUGAUGCAAGCAUACAUGUGUGGAUGUAUGGGUGGAUGUGCUUGUGGAAAGCGGGCCGGUUCCGCCCCUGGAAGGCAACGUACGUGCACGGCAUCACCCUCGCCGCGCCGCGCGAUGGACUGGGAGCUGCUGUGAUGCAGGAGAGGGGCCAUUCAACCUUGCGUUUUGGCUGUCCUAACGCCGUGCGCCCUGCCAUGGAGUGCGCAUCUCUACUCCUGUGGUGCAUUUUCACCUUAGGCGUCUCUCACUGACGCCGCAGAAUCUCUCCCGCUUGCCCCAACGCUCAUUUUUUUUCGCUUCUUCUUGAAACUCAG